CGUUGGGGCAUUAAAAUAGGCUAGGGUAGGUGAUUGCACAGAGAAUAUUAUUCUAUUCAUUUCCUUCCUAGCCAAAAAAA
ensembl:snoRNA